rnacentral:rRNA from 1 species
GCAGUCGACGAUGAACUGGAGCUUGCUCCAGGGAUUAGUGGCGAACGGGUGAGUAACACGUGAGUAACCUGCCCUUGACUCUGGGAUAAGCGCUAGAAAUGGCGUCUAAUACCGGAUACGAGCUUCAGCCGCAUGGCUAGGAGUUGGAAAGAAUUUUGGUCAAGGAUGGACUCGCGGCCUAUCAGCUAGUUGGUGAGGUAAUGGCUCACCAAGGCGACGACGGGUAGCCGGCCUGAGAGGGUGACCGGCCACACUGGGACUGAGACACGGCCCAGACUCCUACGGGAGGCAGCAGUGGGGAAUAUUGCACAAUGGGCGAAAGCCUGAUGCAGCAACGCCGCGUGAGGGAUGACGGCCUUCGGGUUGUAAACCUCUUUUAGUAGGGAAGAAGCGAAAGUGACGGUACCUGCAGAAAAAGCACCGGCUAACUACGUGCCAGCAGCCGCGGUAAUACGUAGGGUGCAAGCGUUGUCCGGAAUUAUUGGGCGUAAAGAGCUCGUAGGCGGUUUGUCGCGUCUGCUGUGAAAUCUGGGGGCUCAACCCCCAGCCUGCAGUGGGUACGGGCAGACUAGAGUGCGGUAGGGGAGAUUGGAAUUCCUGGUGUAGCGGUGGAAUGCGCAGAUAUCAGGAGGAACACCGAUGGCGAAGGCAGAUCUCUGGGCCGUAACUGACGCUGAGGAGCGAAAGCAUGGGGAGCGAACAGGAUUAGAUACCCUGGUAGUCCAUGCCGUAAACGUUGGGAACUAGAUGUGGGGGCCAUUCCACGGUCUCCGUGUCGCAGCUAACGCAUUAAGUUCCCCGCCUGGGGAGUACGGNCGCAAGGCUAAACUCAANGGAAUUGACGGGGGNCCCG